rnacentral:rRNA from 1 species
UACGGAGGAUCCGAGCGUUAUCCGGAUUUAUUGGGUUUAAAGGGUGCGCAGGCGGGAGAUUAAGUCGGCGGUGAAAUUUUGCAGCUCAACUGUAAAAGUGCCUUCGAAACUGGUUUCCUUGAGUGUAGAUGAAGUAGGCGGAAUUUGUGGUGUAGCGGUGAAAUGCAUAGAUAUCACGAGGAACUCCGAUUGCGCAGGCAGCUUACUAAACCAUAACUGACGCUCAGGCACGAAGGCGUGGGGAUCAAACAGGAUUAGAUACCCGGGUAGU